UACGGAGGGUGCAAGCGUUAUCCGGAAUCAUUGGGUUUAAAGGGUCCGCAGGCGGGUUUAUAAGUCAGUGGUGAAAGCCUACAGCUCAACUGUAGAACUGCCAUUGAAACUGUAGAUCUUGAAUUCGGUCGAAGUGGGCGGAAUAUGACAUGUAGCGGUGAAAUGCUUAGAUAUGUCAUAGAACACCGAUAGCGAAGGCAGCUCACUAGGCCUGGAUUGACGCUCAGGGACGAAAGCGUGGGGAGCAAACAGGAUUAGAAACCCGCGUAGUCC
rnacentral:rRNA from 1 species